rnacentral:rRNA from 1 species
AUUGAACGCUGGCGGCGUGCCUAACACAUGCAAGUCGAACGGCAGCAUGGUCUAGCUUGCUAGACUGAUGGCGAGUGGCGGACGGGUGAGUAACGCGUAGGAAUAUGCCUUAAAGAGGGGGACAACUUGGGGAAACUCAAGCUAAUACCGCAUAAGCUCUAAGGAGUAAAGCUGGGGACCUUCGGGCCUGGCGCUUUAAGAAUAGCCUGCGUACGAUUAGCUAGUUGGUGGGGUAAAGGCCUACCAAGGCGACGAUCGUUAGCUGGUCUGAGAGGAUGGCCAGCCACACUGGGACUGAGACACGGCCCAGACUCCUACGGGAGGCAGCAGUGGGGAAUAUUGGACAAUGGGGGAAACCCUGAUCCAGCAAUGCCGCGUGUGUGAAGAAGGCCUGAGGGUUGUAAAGCACUUUCAGUGGGGAGGAGGGUUGAUUGGUUAAGAGCUAAUUAAU